GGUAGUUCUCAGGUGACACACUCCAGAAUUGGGCUCCCUCCUCUCUGGUUCCGGGUGCGUCACAUGAGAACCACA
rfam:Myotis lucifugus cont2.15624, whole genome shotgun sequence.